rnacentral:lncRNA from 1 species
AAGAUGUAAAAAAAUUUGCAUACGGAUAUAUGUAAGCAAGGAUUUGAAGCUACAAUUAGAAUAUUGAUAAUAUCUCAAGUUUUGUAAUGAAUUUGUAGUUGAAAUUUAUUAUGGUAGUUUUUAAAAGUACAUCAAUACUUUAUAUAAAGUUUUGGUUUGUCUAGAUGGUUCAAACAUGAGAUAUGAGCUAUUGAAGUUUGGAAAAUAUUCACCUUAAUAAUAUGGAAGGUUUUAUAAUAUUUUCAUCAUAUUUUUGGUGACCUUUGGUACUUAAGGCUUAUGUAUUGACGUAUUUGCUCCUAUAGGGAUAAUUUUUUCUAAAGACUUGGUAUUUUUUUUUUUUUUUUUUUUUUUU